GAGCACUACAGACACAGUACAAUGCAUGGAGCACUAUAGACACAGUACAAUGCAUGGAGCACUACAGACACAGUACAAUGUAUGGAGCAAUACACACUCAGCACAGUUCAAUGUCUGUCAAACAGUUCAUGGUAAUUCUCUGCAAGUGACAGGCACACAAACACACAUUUCACCACACAGGGGAGAUCAAGAGAGUUAAGGAAACAAUUCUUUAUCCACAAGUUCCCAUAAACCAUUCAGCCUUAUAAAUCCUAAGGCAAACUAAAGCACAACACACUGACCCACACAUAUUAUUAACCACUAACAAACUUUACACACACAUCUGAAAUGAGAAGUAGAUAUGAAUUUUUAUUAUAUUCAAAAUAAAACUAUGUAUCAUUUAAUAUAAUAAAAGAUUCAGUGCUAAAAUUUUUUAUUUUGGAAUUGCAACAUUUAGAUUUUUAUGAACAUUAUUUAGCCUUUUUUAAAUUUACAGUCUUAAGUUAUGUAGUGUAUAGACAAUUCAGUUAUACCCAAACUAGGAUCUGUAGGUUACAUUCAAAAUGUCGUGCUAUCAUGCCUUUCAGAAUACCUGUACAGAGUGUACACAAAAAUCGCAGAGGCUCAGUUUCAUAGUAUUAGAUUUUUUAAGCAGUGUUGCUGCCCCUGACACAUAUUGAAAAAUAAUUAGGCUCCUUGACUGAAAAAAAUAGUUGUGCCCCACUGGUUUAAAUUAAAUUGACAUUGUUAGUGUAAUUAAACCUAUGACUUUAUUUGACUAAACAUUUGAACCUAACUGAAAACUUAGUUGUUAUGCACGUUUGAUUUAUUCAAAGACUGUUUGUAGUUCUGGCUGAGAAGUUGGACUACAAAAUUAUACAAGAACUUAAGUCAUAGCAAUAACAAAAAAAGUAUACAACCUGGUUUGGACGUUUGAUUGUACUGCACAUAUAAAAAAAAAUGGUGAAGAAACAAACUUAAAGCCAGACAAA